CAGAGAUCAUGCCCCUCGCGGGUAGACCUCCCACCCUGUGUUAUUUACGAUUGUUGCUUUGGCAGGUCGCCUUCGGGCACUCGGCUCCGGCUGAGGUGCGCCUGCCAGAGGACCCCAACUCUGUGUUUAGUGUCGUCUGAGUACUAUUUUAAUACGUUA
rnacentral:misc_RNA from 1 species